AUGAACGCUGGCGGCGUGCCUAACACAUGCAAGUCGAACGGAGUCGUUUUGGAAAUCUCUUCGGAGAUGGAAUUCUCGACUUAGUGGCGGACGGGUGAGUAACGCGUGAGCAAUCUGCCUUUAAGAAGGGGAUAACAGUCGGAAACGGCUGCUAAUACCGCAUAAAGCAUUAAAUUCGCAUGUUUUUGAUGCCAAAGGAGCAAUCCGCUUUUAGAUGAGCUCGCGUCUGAUUAGCUAGUUGGCGGGGUAACGGCCCACCAAGGCGACGAUCAGUAGCCGGACUGAGAGGUUGAACGGCCACAUUGGGACUGAGACACGGCCCAGACUCCUACGGGAGGCAGCAGUGGGGAAUAUUGCGCAAUGGGGGAAACCCUGACGCAGCAACGCCGCGUGAUUGAAGAAGGCCUUCGGGUUGUAAAGAUCUUUAAUCAGGGACGAAACAAAUGACGGUACCUGAAGAAUAAGCUCCGGCUAACUACGUG
rnacentral:rRNA from 1 species